CAGCGAUGUCUGUAACUGCCUGGUAGUGAGCCGUUCGGGGCCACGUAGAGUUUGUUAUGGAGAGUAGUGGUAUCCAUUGUCGUGACCUGUCGGAGAGUGGUGGGGCCACAUGGAGUUUGUUACAGAGAGUGGAGUGGUGUCCGUUAUCGUGACUUGUCGGGGAGUUCGGGCUGGAUGGUUGAAGCUUGGUUGGGACGUCUGGUGGAGCAGAAUAUCUCUCUGUCUCAGCAAUCUAAGAAAAGCUCGGAUGUUUUCGAGGUUGCUGACGGGUUAACUGUUGUUGGGUGCCUUAGGUAUUGAUGCUGCAGA
rnacentral:lncRNA from 1 species